AUUGAACGCUGGCGGCAUGCCUUACACAUGCAAGUCGAACGGCAGCGCGGACUUCGGUCUGGCGGCGAGUGGCGAACGGGUGAGUAAUACAUCGGAACGUACCCUGUUGUGGGGGAUAACUAGUCGAAAGAUUAGCUAAUACCGCAUACGACCUGAGGGUGAAAGUGGGGGACCGCAAGGCCUCACGCAGCAGGAGCGGCCGAUGUCUGAUUAGCUAGUUGGUGGGGUAAAGGCCACCAAGGCGACGAUCAGUAGCUGGUCUGAGAGGACGAUCAGCCACACUGGGACUGAGACACGGCCGAGACUCCUACGGGAGGCAGCAGUGGGGAAUUGUGGACAAUGGGGGCAACCCUGAUCCAGCAAUGCCGCGUGUGUGAAGAAGGCCUUCGGGUUGUAAAGCACUUUUGUCCGGAAAGAAAUCGCGCUGGUUAAUACCUGGCGUGGAUGACGGUACCGGAAGAAUAAGCACCGGCUAACUACGUGCCAGCAGCCGCAGUAA
rnacentral:rRNA from 1 species